rnacentral:rRNA from 1 species
AACGAACGCUGGCGGUAUGCUUUACACAUGCAAGUCGAACGAACUGUUGGUAGCUUGCUAUCAACAGUUAGUGGCAAACGGGUGAGUAACGCGUGGGAAUCUGCCCUAUAGUACGGAAUAGCCGUUGGAAACGACGAUUAAUACCGUAUAUCUUCCCAGGAAGAAAGACUUGUCGCUAUAGGAUGAGCCCACGUUAGAUUAGUUUGUUGGUAGGGUAAUGGCCUACCAAGACUACGAUCUAUAGCUGGUUUGAGAGGAUGAUCAGCCACACUGGAACUGAGAUACGGUCCAGACUUCUACGGAAGGCAGCAGUGAGGAAUAUUGGACAAUGGGGGCAACCCUGAUCCAGCAAUGCCACGUGUGUGAAGAAGGCCUGAGGGUUGUAAAGCACUUUAGUCAGGGAGGAAGGUUCAUAUGUUAAUAGCAUAUGGAAUUGACGUUACCUGAAGAAUAAGCACCGGCUAACUCUGUGCCAGCAGCCGCGGUAAU